UGCUUGAGUAUAAGAGAAGAUUAUGGAAUUUUAGAAGGAUAGGUAAAAUUUGAAGAGUUUUGAAGGAACAUCUAUAGCGAAAGCAAUAAUCUGGUUUAUUUAAUACUGACGCUGAGGAACGAAAGAAUAGGUAGCAAACAGGAUUAGAUACCCUGGUAGUCUAUUCCGUAAACUAUGAAUGCUCGUGUUUAGAAUUAACAUUUUAGACACCAAGUUAACACGUUAAGCAUUCCGCCUGAGGAGUAUAGUCGCAAGGCUGGAACUCAAAGGAAUUGACGGGGGCCAAUACAAACGGUGGAGCAUGUGGUUUAAUGCGAUAAUACGCGCGAAAUCUUACCAGCUUUUGAAUUCUAAAGAAUAUUAUUUUAAUAGAAGUCGAUAAUUUACUUAAAUAUGUUUAAGUGAAAGUUUAGAACAGGUGUUGCAUGGCUGUCGUCAGCUCGUGUUGUGAAAUGUUUGGUUAAGUCCUUUAACGAGCGCAACCCUCCUUUUUAGUUGCUAACAAGAUACUCUAGAAAUAGAUUUACGAUGAGUAAAUGGAAGAAGGAUGACGUCAAGUCCUCAUGGCCCUUAUAGGCUGGGCUACACACGUGCUACAAUGGUAAUUACAGAAGGAAGCAAAUAUGAAAAUUGGAGCAAAUCCCUAAAAAUUAUCGUAGUUCGGAUUAUAGACUGCAAUUCGUCUAUAUGAAGUUGGAAUCGUAAGUAAUUGCGAAUCAGAAUGUCGCGGUGAAUAUGUACCUUGGCCUUGCACACACCGCCCGUCACAUGCCGGGAGUUAGUUUUACUUUAAAAACAUAAAAUAAUCAAAAGAUUCUUUAUUUUUU
rnacentral:rRNA from 1 species